rnacentral:lncRNA from 1 species
GCAUGCAUGGGCUUAAAAGUGGCGGCUGGGUUUUUGUUUUUCUUUCUUUUCCAUGUGAGGAUUUAGAGCGCUACAAUAUAAAAAGAAAAGUGAAUAGGGCAGCCGAGAGGAUUGGGAGCCAAGAGAAAAAAGAAAGGAAGCAGCAGCACAACAAUUGAAAAAUUGGAGAUAAAACCGAGAGCAAGAAGAAAAAAAAGAAAAAGAAGAAGAGAAGCCAUCGCUGUAAAUCUGGGAGCAACAAUUUGGAGAAGUCAAUUGUAGAGAUUGGAGAGAGACAGGUUCUUGAGUUUUUCUUUCUCUCUUUUCUAUUAUCUUGCUUGAAUGUUCUCCAAUUAAAUUUAUGGAUUCUCUUUAUAUUCCCAUGAAAUAAUUUAUUUUACUAGGGCUACGAUAUAGCUUAACUAUGAAGAUUUAAUUCCAUAAAUUUAUGUUAUUUUUAAUUUAUUAUUCCAUGGUUGAGUGUUCAUUAUUGUGUUUAGUGCUUUUAAAUAUUUGGUCAAUAUUUGAAUGAUUUGAGGAUACAUAAUGAGACCGAGAGGAGAUUUAUGUAUUUUUGCUCUGUGUAAUGGGUGUCAUGAAUUGAACGAAAGAUAGAGAUGUGCCAACGUGAUUCGUGCAGUUUUUCUAAGAAUUUCCAUGGAGCUUAAUGAAUCUUUAUAUAUUUAAAUUCACAUAGAGAUAUAGUGGGUUAAUGUGUGAAGGUAUUUUUAAUAUUAUUCGAGAGAGGAUAUUAAAUGGAUUAAGGAAAUUCACUGUCAACAUGGGGUAGUAAAUUUUAAUAGCAUAGAUGGAGGAUUAAAUUGGAUUGGUUAUGGUGAAAUAGGAUGUCCUAGUGUCUUAAUUUCUUGGUGAUUUCUAUUACUGCCUGCAUCUUUAUUUAAUUUUUAAUUAUUUUAAUUUUUAAUCUAAAUUCGCUUAUUUUAUUGUUCAAAUAAAUUAGGGUUAGAAUAAUUUCGGUAACUAAUAGAAUAUACAAUCUCUGUGGGAUGAUACUCUACUCUUCAUUAUAUUACUUGUGCCGACUAGUACACUUGCUAAUUUACGCAUCAUUUACAAAGUUAUACCCUCUCUCAAUUUAAUGUAAACAAAUAAUAGCUCAAAUGAAUGUAUGUAUGUAAGCAUAUAAAUGAAUUUUUAUCUAAUUUUUUUUUAUAAAAACGCACUUAUACUUAGAAUUUGAAAUAAUAUUCACAUGAUAGAAUUUUCCUUUAGAAAAUACAAAG